GUCCACCUCUCUCAGUGCGCCACCGCCGGCCCCCUCCACCAGCGCGUCACCGAGCGCCCCCUGCACGACACAACUCCGUCUACACCAUGUCUUGGAGAUGCUCCAACAGCUCCUCGUCCUCCCUCCAGGUGCUUGUUAGGACUUGGGCACGAGCUCGUCCAACAGGGGUGCUAGCAACCGUCCAAGUGGAGCGUUGAAAACAGUACGAGUAGAAUCACGGGUCGCGGCCACCAACUUCACCAAGUGCUGCACAUCCGUCCAAGUCGAGCACACACACAGGGAGAACACCAGCGCCUUUGCUUUGCACAUUGCUUGGUAAUGCAUAAUUGCUGAUGGAUGCAACAAGUGUUUUAUUACUUUGAUCUUCUACAAGACUCAAUUUUGUCUCAGUUUUCGUGGAUGCUAGCCGGCAAGUGACAUAAUUUUGGUUGCCAUUUCUCUAUUUAGCAGAUUCCAUCCGCACAAAAAAUGCUACUACAAAUUCUUCUAUGUAAAAUAUGAAUAAGGUUCAAUUCACAAAAACAUGUGGAAGUUCGCUUGGGAAAUUCUGCAGUCUAUUUGAUUAUGUCAGGAUGUACAGAAUGACGACUCUUUAUUGUGUGCCUUCAGCACAAUUUAAAAUUACUCAUUGACCGUAUGUCUAAUCGGUUUUUCUUUGUUUACAGAAAAAUUAAUAUGUGAGGAUUAUCUCAGGUUUCUUUUUGAACAUGUAGCGUUACUGUACAUGAACUUUUACAUUACCUUGUUAUCAAUUUAUGUGUAUGUGUGUUGGUAACCACUACUACUAGCUACUAGUUACCGAUCUGAACUAUUGAUCAUGCAUCAACUCUCUCGCUAUGUGAUGUUCUUGCUCCCUCUCUCGUAGCUACAACAUGGUCACAGGCUAGCUGAUGGAUCCAAAAAAUGAUUAUGGAUAAUUGUUGAUCUGGUCUCUAGUUUCGAUGAGCUGAUGGGUAGAUUCUCUCUCUCUCAUGCUCUCUCUCUCUCCUCAUCCUUUGUAGUUUGUGUGAACUGAUAGUUUAGACUUGAUGAAAUCCGUUGUCUGUAGUUUGUGUGUACUGAUAGUUGAGACUAUGAAUUCCAUGCUUUGUAGUUUGUAUGAACUGAUAGUUAAGACUCGAUGAACUCCAUGCUUUGUAGUUUGUGUGAACUGAUAGUUGAGACCUCAAAGAGUUGUCCAUCUCGACUCGGUGAACUCAUAGCUGAUAGUUUUGUGAAGUGAAAAAUUCUUUUUCAAGUUCUUGUGGUAUUUUAUACUUUGUGAGCAGAUAGCUGAUACUUUGAGAUGGAUGUAUUAUCAGGCGUGAAAAUGAUGUCAAAUAUGUGCAGUUUAAUGGAUGAGUGUUAUCUAGAUCCUUUUAAUCUGAAGGUAGUUGCACCACUAAGGAAAAUGAAAAAAACCAGUAUUUUCUAUAGACAAGAAAUGGGCAUUUGGCUCAGUAAUCGUCCAUUACCAGAGGUAUUGUCGCUUGACCAUUUUCCAGAACUAGUUUCAAUUCGUGGAGUACCGGCACUUGCAAAAUCAAAGAGGCUGACCAUAUCAAAGUGCCCAAAGUUGAAGCAAAGGAGAUGAGAUGCUACAAAAAAGGUACACAUGCUAACAGUAGUUUUACCUUCCAGCCUUUACUCCGCUCUUGUUUGAAGUUUCUGAAAGCAAACCAUUAACUUGAAACUCCCCACCUCUCCAACGGGUCUAGUCAUAGCUGUAGGCAGCAAAGGAUAAAAAAUGCAUGGAUUAAUUGGAACAAAUCACACAUAGGCUAUGGGCUACGGAUCACACACAUAUAUUCGCAAAAUGUGCUAUAGAUUAGAUCGAUUGAUACCUCCUAGUGUAGUAUUUCUGUAACUGUAUUUGGUCUGCACUUAUAGGAUUUAGGGAAGUAGUGCAAAAAUGGCUUGCAUUUAGUUAUAGAGGUAGUAUAUGAUAAACAACAUCAGUUCUCAUAUAAGAAUAAAAAAGUGUCUUAAGUCCGAUGAAUAUAGGUAGUGUAGUAUCUGUUACUAAUUUAGUGUGAUGAACCAUCGCCACCAAAUAAUUAGUGGAAUGACCAACCUCCGUGAGGCAAACGUCCCCGCCUCCCACCUCCGGCAAUGCGCCAUGCCCUUUCCUCCCACCUCCGGCGGCGGACCAUGGAUCUGCCUCCGCAGGGGCGGCCACCAGUGGGAAAGCGGAGCAUCGGCAACAACCACCUCUGGCCUCCUGCUCCUCCCAGCAGCGCGGAGACCACCUCUGUCGCCCUGAGUUCCCAGCUGCAUGCAUUCAGGAGCAAGAAAAAUGAGAGGUUAAUUGUCCGUCCACACUGCCUCUCCUUCCAACUCCACACUAGUUUUAUCACAAAAAGCAGAGGAUGUCUAUUUUAUUUCCUGAAACACAAAGUAGGUGUUCUCAGUUCAGUCCGUGAGCUAUCUCAAGAUCUUGGAAAACAUAUAAAACAGUACUGUGUUUGUGCAAAAAUUUCAGAUUGUUUUCUAAUUAUACAGCAGUUUACUAUAUGGUAGAAUUGUAGUUGUUCAGUAAAUAGGUUCACUACCCCACCCGCCACCGUCGCUCCUCCGGUCCGGCAAGACCAGCACUGCCCUCGACUCUGCAACACAUCUUCGCUCCCAUCGCAUCUUAGGUCGGCGCCACAGGCCUCCCUCCUUCUGUCGUUCCUCCUAGCCCCCUCAUCUCUUCGAGGUGCUCCGCUUGCUGCCUUGUACUUGACCUUCCCACUCCUCCACACCUGCACUGCCGCUCCCUCCCGCUGUCCUCACCCACAAGCUAGUCAACUGGAAGAUCUACAUGUCAUCAGUCCAACUUCUUACCCCGCCGCCGGUCACUCAAAAUGUGAGUUGCAGUACUACUUGAGCUCGAUGAGAGGGUGAUAAAUUUAAGAAGAAUCAGGGUCGUAUGUGUGAUGUGUCAUUGAUCUUUCUCUGAACAAUGCUUUCUCUGCCAUGGACCGAUGGCUUCUCUAUAGAUAAGGGCAUAUGACACUUUGUUCUCUGAAGGGGCUUAUUGAUAUGCCAAUGAGAACAUGUACAUUUUUCUGCAGGUUUUCUUGUUGAUUUAUAAGGGAUACCAGAAGUUCUUUUUUACAGAAGUUGAACUACAUGAUAUGAAGUUUGAUGGAUGUGGAGGUUCUUUUGACCUUGAAAUUUAUAUGAGUUCAGGUUUUACUUGAUUUUCAGUUCAAAAAUUGCAUUCUUUUUCAGUAAAUCAACUCUAAAAUGCAGAACAUCAAGGAAAUCUUGAAAAUUAUAUGUGCACUCUAUGUCUUUUUCUUAUGCUUACAAGUAUUCUGCACUCAUACUGUUAUGCAUAAGUUCAGGUCGCAUGUGGAGUUUCAGAUAUAUGCAAUUGAAUUAGAGCACCAUGCUCUCACCCAUGUAAUUUGCAGGGAAAACAUAAUAAGUUCUAAGAACAUAAAUAAAGAAGUUCAUAUUUUGAAACAAAUGAAGUAUUUGGGAACUAAAAUGAAGUAUUUCAAAGUACAGAACUUCUAUUUAGGUUUCUUUUGUGUACUUCUAAUGUCACUGUGCAUGAACUUGUUGUUAUUUUUACAUGUUUUACAUGAUUAUUAUGGUCAUUUCGACCUUCACAAAUUUCAUUUUCUUUUUUCCGUUCAUCUUACAGGUUGAAGGAGCUCCCUUCAGUUCAUUGGAUGCAACAAAAUAAUCUUCAGAAGUUACAGGGACCGACUAACGACACUCCUUCUCUUUUCUGUUUUCAAACAUUUCUAGCACUAAAGUUGGAUGCUAAUUAACUUUGUCAACAAUCAAGAAUUCAAACUACUGAAGACAUAUUUGGCCGAAGAUAUAUAUUGGCACCAUGAUUUCUAAAAUACUGAUGUUGGAGCUCUUGUAGUAUUUCAUUUCUUAGGUUGCUUCGUUCAGAAAAAUGCAGCUUGUGUCUUCAUUGCACCGAUUUUUUUAGAAAUGCUGGAGACUUUGUUUUUAGUAGAGUAGUGGAUACAACUACCUAGUAGAAUACUACAGGCAAGCAGGGACGUUCGAUGCUACUGGAUUGUGGACAGGGGAGUUAAAUUAAGCCCCUCACUUUGUUUCUACAAAUCAGGGAGCACUAAGUGUAGAAGUUCACUAUGUAUUUAUAUCAUCAGUUUGUUAACAAAUCAAAGAAAAAGUUUUUGUGCGUGUGAUUA